AGGGAGGAUUAUGAUCAAUAAAAAUACCAAAGAUAUCAGACCAAUAGGUUUGGGUAGGAGUAUGAUGCAUCUCUGAAUGGACUUUAAGCGGUCUAAAAAUGCCCUUCCACAAGUGCAAGCAUCUGUAAUUACUUGACAUUCGGAAGAAUCUAUGACUCCCAAAAAGUGAAGAACCAUUGGUCUAUAUGUUGAUGACUCCUCAAAAUAUACUACACCUCAGAUUUCUCUCAGUGCCUUCAGCCAGUUGCACUUUGAUAUCUUGGGGAGAGGUGAAGGGAAGGAGCCAGCUUCACAAAAGAAUGCCCGGAUGGAUGGGUGCAGUGGCUCACGCCUGUAAUCCCAGCACUUUGGGAGGCUGAGGCAGGCGGAUCACUUGAGGUCAGGAGUUCGAGACCAGCCAACAUGGUGAAACACCAUCUCGACCAAAAAUACAAAAAUUAGCCGGGUAUGGUGGCGUGUGCCUGUAAUCCCAGCUACUCAGGAGGCUGAAGGGGGAGAACUGCUUGACCCUGGAGGCAGAGGUUCCACUAACCCAAGAUCGCGCAACCGCACUCCAGCCUGGAUGACAGGGCAAGACUCUAAAUCACGUUACAAAAAAAAAAAAGAAUGCCCUGAUGAAGAGGUGAAAAUUAUUAAUUGUAUUAAAUCUGAACCCUAAGUACAUGUCUUUUUAAUAGCCUGUUGGAUAAAAUGGGAAGUCAGCAUAAAGCUCUUCUGCUGCAUAUCGAAUGACAAUACUGUCUUGAGAAAUAUCACUUGUGCAAUUAUUUGACUAAUUUGGUAGACAUUCUCUCAAAAAUGAAUGAAUGGAGUGUGUCACUUCAAGGAUACAACUCAAAAUAUCUGUUGCCAAUGACAAAAUUCAAGCUGUCAGGCAAAAAUUCAAAUUUUAGAAAACUUGUAUCUAUCACUGUAAGCUUGAAAGUAUUCCGAUCUUUAAAAACUUCUGAUUUGGGCCUGGCGUGGUGGCUCACAUCUGUAAUCUCAGCACUUUGGGAGACAGAGGUGCAUGGAUCACAAGGUCAGGAGAGUUCGAGAUCAGCCUGGCCCCAUCUCUAUUAAAAAUACGAAAAUUAGCCGGGCGCGGUGGCGGGUGCCUGUAAUCUCUGCUACUCGGGAGGCUAAGGCAGGAGAAUCGCCUGAACCUGGGACGUGGAGGUUGCAGUGAGCCGAGAUUAUGCCAUUGCACUCUAGCCUGGGUGACAGAACAAGACUCUGUCUCAAAAAAAAAAUGAAAAAAUCUUCUGAUUUGGUUGGUGAUUAUACUAAUGUAUGUGAUUUUUGAUAAUGAAUAAUCAAUUACAUCAACAUUUGGAAGCAAAUAAUUCAGUAAACCAAAACUUUUCAAGCAAGCAACACAUGAUAAUGCCAAAUCAUGUAUGAAAACAAGAUCUGUUCAGAGGGUAAGAUAGAUCAAUGUUUUAAAAUAACAGAGUAUGAAUAGUUGACUGAUAUGGUUUCAUAUUCCACAUUAAGAAACUACAACUUGGCCGGGCGCAGUGGCUCACACCUGUAAUCCCAGCACUUUGGGAGGCCGAGGCGGGUGGAUCACGAGGUCAGGUGAUUGAGACCACGGUGAAAGCCCG
rnacentral:lncRNA from 1 species